rnacentral:rRNA from 1 species
GAUGAACGCUGGCGGCGUGCUUAACACAUGCAAGUCGAACGGAAAGGCCCCUUUGGGGGUCCUCGAGUGGCGAACGGGUGAGUAACACGUGAGUAACCUGCCCUUGACUUCGGGAUAACUUCAGGAAACUGGGGCUAAUACCGGAUAGGAAUCCUUGCUUCAUGGUGGGGGUUGGAAAGCUUCGGGGGGUUUGGAUGUACUGGGUGCAUAUCAGCUUGUUGGUGUGGGUGUGGCUUACCAAGGCUUUGUCGGGUGGCCGGCCUGAGUGGGCGACCGGCCACAUUGGGACUGAGAUACGGCCCAGACACCUACGGGAGGCAGCAGUGGGGAAUAUUGCACAAGGGGCGGAAGCCUGAUGCAGCAACGCCGCGUGCGGGAUGACGGCCUUAGGGUUGUAAACCGCUUUCAGCAGGGGCGAAGCUUGUGGUGACGGUACCUGCAGAAGAAGCACCGGCUAACUACGUG